CUGUGGUGGUGCAGUCUAAAUCGGAGGUGUUAUCCUCCCUUUGCAGUGUAUCGUCCGUGGCCAGGGAGGAGGAGCUCAUCAUCAUGUCGCUUUGCAGCUGGUUUAAGAAGAUCGAGACCCCAGACGGCAGCGUCAUAUACGAGCUUAGGAUUCAUGGUGUGAAGAUGCGAAUUUGUCGAGCCAUCGUUGGCAAAGAAUAGGAUGAACGUUGAGAUUUGCGAGGGCAAAGUGGUGACCAGUAAGAUCUGAGUUGGUCUGUAACAAGGUAGGGCACUGAUAAGGGGUUGACAGCCAUGUAGUUGGUGAUGGCAGGGCAUGAGCGUUGAAGAACAACACACACAUGGAUUUCACGGCACAAACCUCUGCCAGUAACCACGGAGUCUCUAGCACGGAGUUUCCAGCGCGAGGUGACGGUUCAACGCAGUAUGGACGGGACAAAACAGUGA